GGACUUAUCAUCAGAUAUAAUAUCGCAUUCAAUCCGUUUCUCCUUUAUCGUUCCUGUAGAUAAGUGGAUUGCUUUCAUUGAUCAUGUUGUUUGUUUUGCUAUCUUGAUUUUGGGGAUUAGGGAUUUAGGGUUUCUUCAUUUCUCGAUUAUGUGUCUUAUUGCAUGUCAUAUCUUCGAUUACCAGCUUGAGCCAAGUUAAUUCAUGAUUUUCGAAUGCAUGUAUUGCAGGAAGGGAUAGACUUUAAUUACAUUUCGAUUUUUUAUUUUUCAAAUUUUGUUUGUGAUUUCAGAUUGUAUAAUGCCAUGGAAUUGGUG
rnacentral:misc_RNA from 1 species